rnacentral:misc_RNA from 1 species
CACCGGUAAUGAUCUCUCCUUAAUCGCAUCAUAAUUCUUCUGUGCUCUAUGCUGCAUUUCAUGUAUAAACUGUAGGGCCACCCUGGAGGCAGGGCCGCCAGAGAAAGUAACAAGGACAUUAUCAGAAGGGGUAAUCAUGGAAUGAGAAGUAACAGCAAGUCUGAACUUCCCAUAAAGAAUGUUCCGAAAGCAUUCGGCACAGAAGCGGGCAUCAUCACCGCCACCAGCAGCAGAGGCACUAGAUAUGGGCGGCUUGGCCUUGCACUUAAUGCAGAGAUUCUGCUGUCCAUUACUAUUAGUAUUACCCGAAUUCCGAUCGGUUGGUGGUGGCAUGCCUUCU